AAAUUGAAGAGUUUGAUCAUGGCUCAGAUUGAACGCUGGCGGCAGGCCUAACACAUGCAAGUCGAACGGUAACAGGAAGCAGCUUGCUGCUUCGCUGACGAGUGGCGGACGGGUGAGUAAUGUCUGGGAAACUGCCUGAUGGAGGGGGAUAACUACUGGAAACGGUAGCUAAUACCGCAUAAUGUCGCAAGACCAAAGAGGGGGGACCUUCGGGCCUCUUGCCAUCGGAUGUGCCCAGAUGGGAUUAGCUUGUUGGUGGGGUAACGGCUCACCAAGGCGACGAUCCCUAGCUGGUCUGAGAGGAUGACCAGCCACACUGGAACUGAGACACGGUCC
rnacentral:rRNA from 1 species